rnacentral:lncRNA from 10 species
GAAAAUCUACACACCUGCAAAGUCCCUUUUGCCACAUCAUCGGAAGAAACAAAAACAAGCUGUGGUGAAGAAGAAACGUUUUCUAAAGCCUCUUUUAUCCCCAGGAUGGUUGAGAAGUCAGAGGCCUGCAAUGCUAGGAAGAGAGGGUCUAAAGUGUCCUUUUCACCGUGAUGUAAGUAGGCUCUCCAGCAGUCCCAGAAGACUUUCACAAGAAGAGUUUCAACAACAGAAAAUAAGCCUAAGUGAUUGUGUGAAUAUCACAGAGCAACAGAGAAAAUGUAGAUCACUCCAGUUCUAGCACAAGGUCGGGGAGGAAAAAGAAUCAGAGAGUUUGGAAUUUCUAAAUGCUCGUGUUUGAGAAAUGGGGAGCAUCACAAACUAACAGCAGAGGUGGACAUUUUUUACAGGGUAAAGGAUUCCCAUGGAACACCACUCGUCAAAUGCAAAUAAAAAUUGUACAAAGAAGGUAACUUCUUUCUCUGUCCCCACAUCUCUCCAUCUGAAACUUCAUUCUUCCAUUAAAACAGAAUUGUGCUUUGUGAU